rnacentral:rRNA from 1 species
GACGAACGCUGGCGGCGUGCUUAACACAUGCAAGUCGAACGAAGUGGCGAACGGGUGAGUAAUACGUGGGUAACCUGCACUACUUUUUGGGCUAAGACUUGGAAACGGGGUCUAAUACCGAAUAGCGGGGGAUGGGCUGGCGGACUAUCAGCGUGUUGGUGGGGUGAUGGCAUACCAAGGCGGUGACGGGUAGCCGGACUGAGAGGGUGACCUGCCACAUUGGGACGGAGCUACGGCCCAGAGUACUCCGGGAGGCAGCAGUGGGGGAUAUUGCAGAAUGGGCGAAAGCCUGAUGCAGCGACGCUGCGUGGGGGAUGAAGGUUUUCGGGUUGUAAACCUCUUUCGCAAGCGAACGGGUAGGUGGAGAAGAAGCGCCGGCUAACUACGUGCCAGCAGCCGCGGUAAUUC